UACAGAGGUCCCAAGCGUUGUUCGGAUUCAUUGGGCGUAAAGGGCGUGUAGGCGGCUCUGUGUGUCCCAUGUGAAAGCCCUCGGCUCAACCGGGGAACUGCAUGGGAAACUGCGGAGCUUGAGUCCGGGAGAGGUGAGUGGAAUUCCCAGUGUAGCGGUGAAAUGCGUAGAUAUUGGGAGGAACACCAGUGGCGAAGGCGGCUCACUGGACCGGUACUGACGCUGAGACGCGAAAGCCAGGGGAGCAAACGGG
rnacentral:rRNA from 1 species